GACGUAGGGUGCGAGCGUUGUCCGGAUUUAUUGGGCGUAAAGGGCUCGUAGGCGGCCAACUAAGUCGGACGUGAAAUCCCCAGGCUCAACCUGGGAACUGCGUCCGAUACUGGAUGGCUUGAAUCCGGGAGAGGGAUGCAGAAUUCCAGGUGUAGCGGUGAAAUGCGUAGAUAUCAGGAAGAACACCCGUGGCGAAGGCGGUUCUCUGGGACGGUACUGACGCUGAGACGCGAAAGCGUGGGGAGCGAACAGG
rnacentral:rRNA from 1 species